UAAACUAGGAUUAGAUACCCUAUUAUUUUUAAUAUAAAAUUUUACCUAGGUAUUAGUAGUUUUGUUCUUUAAACCUAAAGAAUUUGGCGGUGUUUUAGUCUAUUCAGAGGAACUUGUCUCGUAAUCGAUAAUCCUCGAUUUAUCUUUCUUUAUUUUGUAAUCAGUAUGUAUACCGCCGUUAUAAGUUUAUUUUUUUAGAAUAUUUACUUUUAAUUUUAUUUUAUUAUAUUUCAGGCAAAGGGUGCAGA
rnacentral:rRNA from 1 species